CGUCGACUGUGAACGCAAACAAUUCUAACUGAAACAUGUAUGUAUUCUAUUUAAGAAAUAACAUUAAUCAAAUUGUGCCGAAUGAAAACAUAUUUCCUUUGCAUAACCUCACUUCUCGGAGCUCUUCUCUUUAAUUAUGAACAAUAUGCCCUGCACGGAGCGGACUGAAAGAAGAGAAAGCGCUGUCUGGGUGUGCGGAGGUAGCAGCGGACCUGGCACCGACCCCGCCAGUGACCCCGAGCUUCUGUUUACAUCAUACAGCCCAGACGUGGACAUCAGCCCGCACGUUUCCACACGUAUCCCUGGUGGAUUUUGGAAAAGAAGCUUCUGGAAGCAGCACGGUCUGUGCAGGAUGACGAGGCCCCUGUCCUACUGUCCAGUGGAGCUCCAUGUACCACAGAUUAGGCUCUUCUUUAUCCUGACGUCAUGGCCCAGUUUGCGCUCCAGUGGACACUGCGGAAGGGCAGCUCAGAGAGGCAGCACUGGACCCCACGAGGCCCUUGCCCCGCCAACCUUUCUAUAAGUUGCCUGUGUGUUGCGACCUGAAUAUGCAAAUCCCUGUCUUGUUUUUAUUUUACCCUUUGCCCAAAAAAACAUGGAGUAUUUUGUAUUAAAUGAACCUGAAUUCUUUCUUGAGUAGAGAACUUCUGCUUCCUGUAGCGGUUUGGUUAUGAGCCAUCCACCGCUGUGCAAUUUUGUAUUAACUGAUGGGCCUCUGGCUGCCCUAGUUACAGAUCAUUUACAUCAUUAUCAUUUACAUCAAGUCCACUUGUUUUCCUAAAAUAUGUCCUUACAGCAAUAACAAAAUCAAGGGUUUUUUUUUGUGCGUGUUCUUUCUUUCUUUGCGCCUGGGGAUAUGUUUUCAACAUUCUCAUCAAAUCAUAACUGACCUUGCCGGAUUUUUAUUGUACGUAGCAAAAGAAAUGUACCCUGUUCGUUUUUUCCAGCCCUCUGAAAUGCACAAAAUCAUUUUUUGAUUUGAACUGAUUUGGUCGUGUGAUGCCUUUUGUCUGCUAAUGCUUGGUCUAAUCUGAGGUACUUCAGGGCGAGGUGUCUACCUGCCGGAUGACUCACUAGUAAUGUCUGCACAUGCAUGUCUCUGCUCACGCACUGUUCGAGGUGCCUGUGGGCACAGCAAGUCCUCUCUUUUCUGGAAUUUGGACCUGUGUGUCAUUCAUGCCCGACUCCAGAAGGCAGGUUAUACCUAUUUUGAAAUGUAUUUGGUUAGUGUUCUCACCACCUACCUGACUGAAAAGAGUGAGGAAAGUUGAUUUUAUAAAAUGUUGAUUAAUCUGCAUGUGGAUUAUUACGCUAAACGGAUUCAUAAGGCUCCAUAGUUCAUUACUGCUUUAUGUGUUGAUAUUUAAUGGAUGAAUUAAAGUUGAAUACCUUUCUCAGAGUGUGCUUACAUUACCUGAACUACUGGUAUCAGAUACUAAAGGUCAUAUUUGUUUAAGGUGUGUGCUGUCCUGUGUCUUUUACUUUCAGUCCUGUGAAAACCCUCCCUCUUUCACUGCUGUAGUAAUGCUGCACUGCGGUUCUUUGAGAACUCAUGUUUCAUGUCACUGAAUAGUUAUAUGUGGAUGGUAUGACAAUAAAACCCAUUUGAUUUGACCUGACUUUUCCAGGACUUCUCCUGGUGAUAUAAUCUUCAGAACCUCUACCUGAAGGCACUUCCAUACCCAUAUGUCUGUACAUAAGGAAAUCCACCUGACUGAUUAUAUAUAUGAUAUAGGCUAUUUGUAUUCACUGGAUGGACUUAGCAGAUACACUCUAUGGGUGAUGAACGGUAAGUGAUCAAAACUUGAAAAUGGGUUGUACCAACACUUAAGCAGCACCACAUAAUGACAGCAAAGAAAAGGGUAGUUUCAGGCACUUGAUUCCAUUAGCUUGAUAAUCUCAAAAGUAUUUUUGAGAAAAUAGUAUCUAAAUUGAGUUUUAGAUAUUGCCCAAGCCUAGUGUAGUGUCUUAAGGUUGGGAGGCAUGGGAGGGGUGGAGUUACAUGGGGGAGGGGUGA